rnacentral:rRNA from 1 species
UACGGAGGGUGCGAGCGUUGUCCGGAAUCAUUGGGCGUAAAGGGCGCGUAGGUGGCCCGGUCAGUUCGUGGUGAAAGCGCGGGGCUCAACCCUGCGUCGGCCAUGAAUACUGCCGCCGCUGGAGCACUGUAGAGGCAGGCGGAAUUCCGGGUGUAGCGGUGGAAUGCGUAGAGAUCCGGAAGAACACCGGUGGCGAAGGCGGCCUGCUGGGCAGUUGCUGACACUGAGGCGCGACAGCGUGGGGAGCAAACAGG